rnacentral:rRNA from 1 species
GACGAACGCUGGCGGCGUGCCUAAUACAUGCAAGUCGAACGCAUUGGGGACGGGUGCGUAACACGUCGGUAACCUCCCAUCAGAGGGGAUAACACUUGGAAACAGGUGCUAAACCGUUACUGAUGGAUGGACCCGCGGUGCAUUAGCUAGUUGGUGCGGUAACGGCUCACCAAGGCCAUGAUGCAUAGACGGCCUGAUAAAGUGAUAGGCCACAUUGGGUCUGGGAAACGGCCCAGACUCCGACGGGAGGGCGCAGUAGGGAGUAUUCGGCGAUGGACGAAAGUCUGACCGAGCAAAGCAGAGUGAGUGAAGAAGGUUUUCGGAGCGUAAAACUCUGUUGUUAGAGAAGCGGUAUCUAACAAGAAAGCCACGGCUAACUACGUGCCAGCAGCCGCGGUAAUAG